rnacentral:lncRNA from 1 species
UAUUAUCUCAGCUCAUUUCUCAGCCCACUAGCCCAGAUCUCAAACUCUCAAUCUCUCAUCGCCUUAUCGGUCAUCGGUCAUCGGUCAUCACUCUGCUCAUCUCGAACUCUCGAUCUCUCAUCUCUCAUCUCUCAUCUCUCAUAUGACAUCUCUCAUCCCUCUCAAUCUCUCAUCCCUCAGAUCUCGAUCUCGAUCUCGAUCUCUGAUCACUCAGAUCUCGAUCUCGAUCUCGAUCUCGAUCUCUCAUCUCUGUUUUUUCCCUAAGCCCCUAACCCAAAAGCUAAAAUCCCAGUCCCCAAAUCUCACGACAGACGUCGCGACUCCACUCCGCCUCCGAACAGCGAACCAAAAUCUGGACAGAACCUCAUCUCCGACUCUGAGCCUAGACGGAAUCUUAUCUUUACUACUCCUUGCUCCUUAAAUUGUGAGUUCUAAAGUCUUUAUACUGAUAUUUACGACUUCCCAUCUACUUCUUUUGGAUGAACUACUAUGUAAUCAAUAUUUUAGAGGUUAUUUAUUUGUUUGAUUCAACAGUACUGUGAUAUUUCUGCUUGUAUCUUUAUUUAAAGUUGAUGAGAUUAUAGGAUCUGCAUCUAAUGUUAGAAAUUUUGUUGGCCUCAUCUGUAAAAUGGAAAUUCGAUCUUUUUAUGGAUUAAACAU